rnacentral:rRNA from 1 species
UUCCGGUUGAUCCCGCCGGAGGUUACUGCUAUCGGUGUUCGCCUAAGCCAUGCGAGUCAUAUGUAGCAAUACAUGGCGUACUGCUCAGUAACACGUGGAUAACCUGCCCUUGGGUCCGGCAUAACCCCGGGAAACUGGGGAUAAUUCCGGAUAACGCACAUAUGCUGGAAUGCUUUAUGCGUCAAAUGGAUUCGUCUGCCCAAGGAUGGGUCUGCGGCCUAUCAGGUAGUAGUGGGUGUAAUGUACCUACUAGCCGACAACGGGUACGGGUUGUGAGAGCAAGAGCCCGGAGAUGGAUUCUGAGACAUGAAUCCAGGCCCUACGGGGCGCAGCAGGCGCGAAAACUUUACAAUGCGGGAAACCGUGAUAAGGGGACACCGAGUGUCAGCAUCAUAUGCUGGCUGUCCAGGUGUGUAAAAUACACCUGUUAGCAAGGGCCGGGCAAGACCGGUGCCAGCCGCCGCGGUAACACCGGCGGCCCGAGUGGUGAUCGUGAUUAUUGGGUCUAAAGGGUCCGUAGCCGGUUUGGUCAGUCCUCCGGGAAAUCUGAUAGCUCAACUAUUAGGCUAUCGGGGGAUACUGCCAGGCUUGGAACCGGGAGAGGUAAGAGGUACUACAGGGGUAGGAGUGAAAUCUUGUAAUCCCUGUGGGACCACCUGUGGCGAAGGCGUCUUACCAGAACGGGUUCGACGGUGAGGGACGAAAGCUGGGGGCACGAACCGGAUUAGAUACCCGGGUAGUCCCAGCCGUAAACGAUGCUCGCUAGGUGUCAGGCAUGGCGCGACCGUGUCUGGUGCCGCAGGGAAGCCGUGAAGCGAGCCACCUGGGAAGUACGGCCGCAAGGCUGAAACUUAAAGGAAUUGGCGGGGGAGCAC